CAUAAUUAUUUGUUCUUUAAUUGGGGUCUGGAAUGAAUGGUUGGAUGAAAAAUUUACUUUCUUUAUUUUAAAGAUAAAAUUUAAUUUCUGAAUUAAAAAGUUUAGAUUUUAUUAAAGGACGAGAAGACCCUAUAGAACUUUAUUUUGUUUAAAAUAAUUAUUUAUUUGUAAAUAUAUAUAUAUAUAUAAAACAAAAUUUUGUUGGGGUGACAGAAAAAAAUUAUUAACUUUUUUUGAUUAUAUCACUUAUGUGUGAAUUUUUGAUCCUUUUUUAUGGAUAGUAAGAUUAAGUUACCUUAGGGAUAACAGCGUUAUUAUUUUGGAGAGUUCAUAUUGAUAAAAUAGUUUGCGACCUCGAUGUUGGAUUAAAAUUAGUUUCAGGGGUAGAAGAUUGAUUACUAGGUCUGUUCGACCUUUAAAUUUUUACAUGAUCUGAG
rnacentral:rRNA from 1 species